CACGUAGGGGGCAAGCGUUGUCCGGAAUUAUUGGGCGUAAAGAGCUCGUAGGCGGUUCGUCGCGUCGGCUGUGAAAACCCGGAGCUCAACUCCGGGCCUGCAGUCGAUACGGGCGGACUUGAGUGUUGCAGGGGAGACUGGAAUUCCUGGUGUAGCGGUGAAAUGCGCAGAUAUCAGGAGGAACACCGGUGGCGAAGGCGGGUCUCUGGGCAACUACUGACGCUGAGGAGCGAAAGCGUGGGGAGCGAACAGG
rnacentral:rRNA from 1 species